rnacentral:lncRNA from 1 species
UUUGAACUCUUUCUGCUUCCUCCCGAGUCUUCUGAAGAGCCUUCUACAACUUUAAAAAUUUUUUUCUAGAUGAAGAAAAGCUAGUUAGUUUUGAAUCCUCCCAAAGGCUUUCAACAUAUCUCGAUCUUGUCCUAAGAAUAUAAUCAUAUAUUUCACGAGAACAAAUAGGGGCCUCAUCCUUUAGUCUGGGUUGAGAUUGCAACUCUAUCAUUUUAUUCUAAAAAAAAGCAAAUAUUAGUUUAACCACUUAACUAAGAUGAUACAAAAUUUAUUCUAUAAAACAUAAUAUUUUCUUACAUAAGCC